rnacentral:rRNA from 1 species
UGGGGAAUAUUGGGCAAUGGGCGAAAGCCUGACCCAGCAACGCCGCGUGAAGGAAGAAGGUCUUCGGAUUGUAAACUUCUUUUAUGAGGGACGAAGGACGUGACGGUACCUCAUGAAUAAGCCACGGCUAACUACGUGCCAGCAGCCGCGGUAAUACGUAGGUGGCAAGCGUUAUCCGGAUUUACUGGGUGUAAAGGGCGCGUAGGCGGGGAUGCAAGUCAGAUGUGAAAUCUAUGGGCUUAACCCAUAACUGCAUUUGAAACUGUGUCUCUUGAGUGCUGGAGAGGUAGACGGAAUUCCUUGUGUAGCGGUGAAAUGCGUAGAUAUAAGGAAGAACACCAGUGGCGAAGGCGGUCUACUGGACAGUAACUGACGCUGAGGCGCGAAAGCGUGGGGAGCAAACAGGAUUAGAUACC